rnacentral:tRNA from 1 species
GUCCAGGUAGCUCAGGGGUAGAGCAUAGGACUGAAAAUCCUUGUGUCGGUGGUUCAAAUCCGCCUCUGGACA